rnacentral:rRNA from 1 species
GACGAACGCUGGCGGCGUGCUUAACACAUGCAAGUCGAACGGAAAGGCCCUGCUUUUGUGGGGUGCUCGAGUGGCGAACGGGUGAGUAACACGUGAGUAACCUGCCCUUGACUUUGGGAUAACUUCAGGAAACUGGGGCUAAUACCGGAUAGGAGCUCCUGCUGCAUGGGGGGGGUUGGAAAGUUUCGGCGGUUGGGGCUGGACUCUCGGCUUAUCAGCUUGUUGGUGGGGUAGUGGCUUACCAAGGCUUUGACGGGUAGCCGGCCUGAGCGGGUGACCGGCCACAUUGGGACUGCGAUACGGCCCAGACUCCUACGGGAGGCAGCAGUGGGGAAUAUUGCACAAUGGGCGGAAGCCUGAUGCAGCAACGCCGCGUGCGGGAUGACGGCCUUCGGGUUGUAAACCGCUUUCGCCUGUGACGAAGCGUGAGUGACGGUAAUGGGUAAAGAAGCACCGGCUAACUACGUG